AAAUGGUGAAUAAAUGCCAUGUUUUGGCCGUGCAGGGGCUGUGGCACGGGUGCCCAGCUGUGCCAGCAGGCCGUGCUUCCCGGGAGCGCCCUGCUUUGACCGCAAGCCGCCCGACCUCGGGUACCUCUGUGGCCGCUGCCCUCAGGGCUUUGUUGGGAAUGGUCGGAGCUGUACCAAAGUCCCCAGAGCAGUUUCAAGAUCUUUCCAAACCCACUUGGACUCUCCUGGAAGAAAUAUUGAAGAUGCUGGAGGCUCUCACCAAGAAGAUGUAUCUAAGACAUCAAGAAAUGUAUUUUCCCUUCUUUCCCAACCUCAAAUGCCAAGACAAGAUAUUACAUUCCUUUUGGAAAGAAACCCCUCAGCCAUUCACACUCCAUCCCUUAGGAUGGAAAAGGAGAUUUCCCAAGCUCAGACAUCACCAGAAAAACAGCCUGACAUGGAGUUCACAGCACCUGAGAAACAACCUUUCCUUGAGAAAAGAAGUGAUCUCAUACCCUUUCUGCAUGAGGAGCCAGAGCCCAGAGCCCCAGAUGUUGGUGUGACCUCCCACCCCCCUGUCCAUUUUCAGCAGCACAAAGAAAAGACAGCACGGACCAUUCCUCCUCAUCCCAACACCAAUCCAGGCUCAUUCCCUGCAAGCUCACAGACCCAUUCCAGGCAUGGUUAUCCUCCCAGGAAAUGGCCCAGUGGAGUCUCAGUCCUGAGGAACAGAGCACCCCAGGGUUUCCCAACAGAGCAGCCCAGAGCAUCUCCCGUGGCCGCGCAUCGCCCUGUCCCUCCCCGAUGGCUGGGCCCUUCCCUGGCUGCUCCAUCCCGGGGUGCGGGCUCUGCUCCUGGAGCAAGGCUCCCAGCACACCCCUCAGCAGCCAGGAGGGGCCUCAGCAGAGCAAGGGGGGCUGUGGAGCUGCCCAAAAGCAGCAGUGGGGCAGUGUGUGCUGAGCUGCCCUGUUUCACGGGUGUGCAGUGCCAGCCAGCUGAGGAUGGAGAGCUUCAGUGUGGUCCUUGUCCCCCUGGAUACAGUGGUGAUGGAAUUACAUGUGAAGGUAAGGGAGAAAAUCCUCUUAAAAUGCUCUAAUAUCUCCAAUUCUAAUAUUUCUCCAAAG
rnacentral:lncRNA from 1 species